GACGAACGCUGGCGGCGUGCUUAACACAUGCAAGUGGUGCGACGAACCAGGGCUUGCCCUGGGGCAAAGCCGCGAACGGGUGAGUAACACGUGGGUAAUCUGCCCCGAUGACCGGGACAACCCGAGGAAACUCGGGCUAAUACCGGAUGAUGAGCCUUGGCGUAAGCCUUGUCUCUAAAGGAAGCUUCGGCCUCCGCAUUGGGAGGAGCCCGCGGCCCAUUAGCUUGUUGGUGGGGUAAUGGCCUACCAAGGCAACGAUGGGUAGCUGGUCUGAGAGGACGAUCAGCCACACUGGGACUGAGACACGGCCCAGACUCCUACGGGAGGGCAGCAGUGGGGAAUUGUUCGCAAUGGGCGCAAGCCUGGCGACGCAACGCCGCGUGGAGGAUG
rnacentral:rRNA from 1 species